rnacentral:siRNA from 1 species
UUCAACUAUAUCUUUGGAUGAUGC